UAAGAAAGGUAAAAGUAAAUUGUUUUUUAAUAGGUCUCCACACAAUUAUAAAAAUAUACUUCUCAAAUCUAUAAAAUGUAAUAUCAUUGCAGUGUACCUCAAAAUGAUAUGAAUAGGUAUUUUAAAGAAUAGAAACAGGAAUCAACAACAGGCAAGACAUUUACCAAUUAAACCUUGGUGUAUAUUUACCAACAGAACCACAAAGGGAUCCACCAAACUGAGAUCAACAUCUACUGGCAGAUGGUGAUCAGCAAAAGCUCAGGAAGAGUGGUACUGACAGAGAGGAUAAAUUCUUACCCAAAGUCACAUAAGUUGGCACAUCUGCAGGGAAACAUCACGUUAGCCUUUGAGGAGAGAGCCACUUCAGAUGAGAAAAAAGCAAAGCAAAACAAAACAAAACAAAACAAAAGAACUAUUCAGAAAAAGAGAAGCAUGGCUCAGGCCAUUUGGAAGAAACAAGAAACUGCUUCUGGAAAAUUACCGAUCAGGAGGCACCACAAACAGGGGGCUGACGGAGGUUUCUCCUGGAUGCUUCUUUGAAGCUCUGAGUUGGCUGGACUCAGGUGUGUCCUGCUUUCCUGCAGCUCUGCUCUCCAUGUGUAAGAGGUUACUGAGGCAACGGGUAGGAGGUCAUUCUCAGGAGACCUUUGUAACGGAAAUUAAGAUCUCAAUCAUUCAACACAUAUUUACAGAAGUCCCACCACAUCUUGGGCACGAUGCUAGGACCUUAGGAUGUAUCAGUGAGCAAAAUUGUCUUUGUUCUCCAAGAUAUUACAGUCUUGUGGUGGGGCAGGGAGGGGGGUGGUGGAGAAGGGACAGCAGAGUCCACAGGCAAUGCCAUACAACAAAAGCUGUGACUGGGUUUCUCCAAGACGACUGUAGGAACUCAGAAUCAGAUCAUGGGAGACUUCUUGGGGGAGGCUACACCUAA
rnacentral:lncRNA from 10 species